AAAGCAGGGGAUCGCAAGACCUUGCUCUGAUUGAGCGGCCGAUAUCAGAUUAGCUAGUUGGUGAGGUAAAAGCUCACCAAGGCGACGAUCUGUAGCGGGUCUGAGAGGAUGAUCCGCCACACUGUAACUGAGACACGGUCCAGACUCCUACGGGAGGCAGCAGUGGGGAAUUUUGGACAAUGGGGGCAACCCUGAUCCAGCCAUGCCGCGUGAGUGAAGAAGGCCUUCGGGUUGUAAAGCUCUUUCAGCCGGGAGGAAAAUGCAUGGGUUAAUACCCUGUGCAGAUGACGGUACCGGAAUAAGAAGCACCGGCUAACUACGUGCCAGCAGCCGCGGUAAUACGUAGGGUGCGAGCGUUAAUCGGAAUUACUGGGCGUAAAGCGUGCGCAGGCGGUUUUGUAAGACAGGCGUGAAAUCCCCGGGCUUAACCUGGGAACUGCGUUUGUGACUGCAAGGCUAGAGUACGGCAGAGGGGGGUGGAAUUCCACGUGUAGCAGUGAAAUGCGUAGAGAUGUGGAGGAACACCAAUGGCGAAGGCAGCCCCCUGGGUCGAUACUGACGCUCAUGCACGAAAGCGUGGGUAGCAAACAGGAUUAGAUACCCUGGUAGUCCACGCCCUAAACGAUGUCAACUAGGUGUUGGGAGGGUAAAACCUUUUAGUACCGUAGCUAACGCGAGAAGUUGACCGCCUGGGGAGUACGGCCGCAAGGUUAAAACUCAAAGGAAUUGACGGGGACCCGCACAAGCGGUGGAUGAUGUGGAUUAAUUCGAUGCAACGCGAAAAACCUUACCUACCCUUGGCAUGUCAGGAACUUUCCAGAGAUGGAUUGGUGCUCGAAAGAGAACCUGAACACAGGUGCUGCAUGGCUGUCGUCAGCUCGUGUCGUGAGAUGUUGGGUUAAGUCCCGCAACGAGCGCAACCCUUGUCGUUAAUUGCCAUCAUUCAGUUGGGCACUUUAACGAGACUGCCGGUGACAAACCGGAGGAAGGUGGGGAUGACGUCAAGUCCUCAUGGCCCUUAUGGGUAGGGCUUCACACGUCAUACAAUGGUCGGUACAAAGGGUCGCCAACCCGCGAGGGGGAGCCAAUCCCAUAAAGCCGAUCGUAGUCCUGAUUGUAGGCUGCAACUCGCCUGCAUGAAGUCGGAAUCGCUAGUAAUCGUGGAUCAGCAUGUCACGGUGAAUACGUUCCCGGGUCUUGUACACACCGCCCGUCACACCAUGGGAGCGGGUUCCGCCAGAAGUAGGUAGCCUAACCGCAAGGGGGGCGCUUACCACGGCGGG
rnacentral:rRNA from 1 species